UCUUCCGUAGUAUAGUGGUUAGUAUAUGAGCUUGUCAUCCGCCAUCCGGCUGUAGCAAACUUCGCUCAGGACCCGGGUUCAAUUCCCGGCGGGAGAG
rnacentral:tRNA from 1 species